rnacentral:snoRNA from 1 species
AUGAUGAGGACGGGAUAAUACGAGAUGUGAUGAAAAGAACCCGGCUGA